UACGGGGGGGCAAGCGUUGUUCGGAAUUACUGGGCGUAAAGGGCGCGUAGGCGGCCUGCUAAGUCGGACGUGAAAUCCCUCGGCUCAACCGGGGAACUGCGUCCGAUACUGGCGAGGCUUGAAUCCGGGAGAGGGAUGUGGAAUUCCAGGUGUAGCGGUGAAAUGCGUAGAGAUGUGGAGGAACACCAGUGGCGAAGGCGACUUUCUGGCCUAUAACUGACGCUGAGGCGCGAAAGCGUGGGGAGCAAACAGG
rnacentral:rRNA from 1 species